UGAAACGUUACAACGUAUAAA
rnacentral:piRNA from 1 species